UCCUGGAAAGUGGAUUCGUCGUCGUGGGCCAGUUGAAUGGCCCCCAAGGUCUCCCGAUCUGACCCCUUAGACUUUUAUCUUUGGGGUCAUCUGAAGGCAAUUGUCUAUGGUGUGAAGAUACGAGAUGUGCAGCAUCUGAAACUACGGAUACUGGAUGCCUGUACUGGCAUUUCUCCUGCGGUGUUGCUAUCAGUGUGUGAAGAGUGGGAGAAGAGGGUUGCAUUGACAAUCCAACACAAUGGGCAGCACAUUGAACACAUUUUAUAAGUGGUCAGAAACUUGUAAAUAACUCAUGAAAGAAUAAAGUUACGUUGAAACCAAGCACACCAUUGUUUUUCUUGUGACAUUACCAAUAAGCUUGAUGUGUCACAUGGCCCUUUUCCUAUUGAAAAAACAAAAGUUGUAUCCAAGAUGGCCGACUUCUAAAUGGCCACCAUGGUCACCACCCAUCUUGAGGAGUUUGCCCCCUCACAUAUACUAAUGUGCCACAAACAGGACUUUAAUAUCACCAACCAUUCCCAUUUUAAUACGGUGUAUCCAUAUAAAUGGCCCACCCUGUACUUUGCCACUGUACUUAAGUAGAACUUUAAAAACACUUAAAAAUUAAAGGUGGUCCUGUCCGUGUAUUAAUUAUCAUAAGUUAUAAUUAUUAUAUGUGACAUCCUCUGGGAUGGCAAAAUCGAGUGACAUUAUUACACUGAACAAAAAUAUAAAUGCAACACUUUUGUUUUUACUCCCAUUUUACAUGAGCUGAACUUAAAGAUCUGAAACAUUUUCUACAUACACAAAGGACCCAUUACUAUCAAAUAUUGUUCACAAAUCUGUCCAAAUCUGUGUUGGUGAGCACUUCUCCUUUGCCGAGAAAAUCCAUCCCACCUCACAGGUGUGGCAUGUCAAGGUGCUGAUCAGAAAGCAUAAAUAUUGCACAGGUGUGCCUUUUUUAACCACUGAAUGUUUUUCAGAAGCUGUCGGUAAAAUGACGUGGAGCAGAAUACCUCCUCCUCACAAAUGUCUGUCUGUGGCAGUCCUGGGCCCCGUUCUUCGGCCCAUUCUGUCUCUCUCUGGCUCUUGGGACUAUUGCUGGAUCAUUACCCAAAUCCAUCCCAUGAACAUGGCACGCCAGGCCUCAGAGACAGCAGGUGCUUCGUCUGAAAGCAGCAUGUUUUUAAAGUCUUCACCACAGGGCAGAAAGGCUUAUAUGUGCCACCAGAGGGAGAAGCAGCAGGGAUCACACAGAAAAGGAAGAUGCUGCGGACAUGCACUGUGCCAGGGCUCUGCUCCGAUUGGUGCGUGGAUACACCGCCCCGACGUGACUGGUUCCAGCUGGAGGACCUGCCCAUUAAAAGGAGGCUGGAGUGCUACGGCGGGAGAGGUCCUCGCGGUUCUCCUCAUUACCCAGCAGUGUAACUGUGGCAGCCGCUGGCUGCAGUGCGGCUUGAAAGUGUUGGAAGUGGAGUGGGUAGGGGUGAGCUGCCGUUUCUUUUGAUCACCUGUUUUUCUCCUGUUUUGAAUUAGUUAAGGAGGUCAGACUCUGUCUUUAUUUUUGACUUUAUUUUGGUAAGGUCAGGGGUGCGGGAUUUGUGUAGAUUUGUUUUGUUUAUUAUUUUGGCCUUGGCUCACCCUGAAGUGUUGACACUCCCGUUCUGUUGUUCCUCUUCUUUCUUCCACUUUGUAAAUAAAUCACAAUAUAACGAACGGAUCUGUUUCCUGUCUUGGGGGGGGAAGCGAGUGCCUCAUUCAUGUUAUUGCCUGGCCCUAGACGGGUCGUAACACUAUGAUUUUGUAGACAUUCAAUGUUUUUAUACAAAUACUAUAAUAUGGCAGAAAACUAUGUUUUAGCACAAAUACUAUGAUUUGGUAUGAAUACUAUGAUUUGGCACAUAUACUAUAUUCAGCAAAUAUACUAUAACAUAACAGAAAUUCUACAACUUAGUACUAAUACUAUAACAUAACAGAAAUAUUACGAUUUGGCACAAGUACUAUGAUUUAGUACAAAUACUACAAAUUGGCAGAAAUACUAUGUUUCUGCAAAAAUACUAUGAUUUGGCAGAAAUACUAUGCCUUAGUAGUAAUACUAUAACACAACAGAUAUACUGAGAUGUUACAGACAUGUUUUAGCACAAAUAAAGUGAUUCGGUAUAAAUACUAUGUUUUGGUUCGAAUACUAUGAUUUGCAACAAAUACUACGAUUUAACACAGGCACUAUGAUUUAGUACAAAUACUACAAAUUGGCAGAAAUACUGUGACCUAGUAGUAAUACUAUAACAUAACAUAACAUAUAUACUAUGAUUUUGCAUACAUUCUAUCUUUUUGCAAAAAUACUACAAUAAGGCAGAAAUAUUAUGUUUUAGCAGAAAUACUAUGAUUUGAUAUAAAUACUAUGAUUUAGCACAUAUACUAUAUUCAGCAGAUAUACUAUAGCAUAACAGAAAUUUUACGACUUAGUAGUAAUAUUAAUUGAGCGUAAAUACUCUAAUUUGGCAAAAAUACCAUGAUUUGGCACAAAUACGAUGAUAUGGCAGAAAUACUAUGAUUGGGUACAAAUACUAUGAUUUAGAAGAAAUACUGCAUUUUACCACAACUUCUGAGAUUUGAUUGAAAUACUAUGAUUUAGAAGAAAUACUAUGAAUCCAUACAAAUACAAUGCUUUGGCACAAAUACUAUGAUUUGGUUUGAAUACUGUGAUUUAGUACAAAUACUAUGAUUUGGCAGAUAUACUAUAUUCAGCACAUAUAUACUAUAUAUAUACUAUAACAUAUCAGAAAUAUUCUGAUUUGGCACAAUGACCAUGAUUUGGCACAAAUACCAUGAUUUGGCAAAAAUACUAUGAUUUAGCAGAAGUACUAAGAUGUAGUAGAAGUACUUUGAUUUAGCAGAAAUACUAUGAUUGAGGAGUAAUACUUUAACAUAGUAGAAAUACUGAUACACACACACAUACACAGAGCGUAAAGUGAACAGGGUCUGUUAAGAGUCUGGGCUUGGUAUAUCUAGGUCAGUUAAAUUAGCUGCACCUGCUGUAAUCAGCCCUUACACACACAGACACUGAGGGAAAACUGAGGGAGUCGUUGAGUGCCAAAAAACGUACGGAAGCAACUGGAAUAAAGUGGAAUAAAGAAUAAAGAGAAACAGGAAAACAAUAGUGUGGAAGCCCUUUUAGGGCAUCCACACAAUAAAGAGAAACAGGAACUCAAUAGUGUGGAUGCCUUCAAGCAUCCACAUAAUAAAGAGAAACAGGAACUCAAUAGUGUGGAUGCCUUAAAGCAUCCACACAAUAUUAAAGAAUAAAGAGAAACAGGAACUCAAUAGUGUGAAUGCCCUUUGAGACAUUCACACAAUAAUCGCAAGGUAGAUUAAAAUGUCACGGCUGCGGUGGCAGACGUGUGGUGAGUGUGAGAGAGGACCCAAACGCUGGCACUGGCUUGGAUGUGAGCGAGCUUUAUUUACACAUUGGUGGCACAAACAGAAAAACGGCGAGCAAAACAAAACCUAAAGAUAACCUAAACACGGGAAAUGACUAACAAAACUAACCUGAACGGACGACUCUGGGAGAAAACGCAGGGAAGAAACACAGACGGAGUAGCGACGAACACAAGAGAACACACACUAUUAAUAUACAGACGGUGUGCCAGUUGCUGUUGUGAUGCAGUGUAUCACCACAUGGCAGCACCUCCUGUCUCAUGACUGGUGUGUCACCCCCUUUCUUGUUCUUUUUCGCACUCUCCCUGUAAUGGAUUCUCCCGUGUGUAUGCGGAGUAGUGUGCUCUCAAGUAAUGUGUGGUAGAGGUAGCACUUUUAUUUUUGAUAUUUUAAAUAAAUGAGUACUUGUGGAAAGUCAGAAGCUGUUGCUCAUUCGCUAUCCACCUGCACACCUCCGCGGCUGGCUUCAUCUCUGCCGCACGCUACAACGGGAACGAGGAAACUACACACAGGAGGGAGGCACAGCUGAUUCUGACUGACUGAAGACGAGGCAGGGGAAAUGCAAACUGAACACACUGGCAUAAGACACAGACCUUCACAAUAAAACAGGAAAGACAGAACACAAGGAAGCCACAUAACAAACCCUAAAACUAGAAUUCAAGAAACACUAAAAAACUAAGGAAGGUGACACCAUGAGAAGAAACCAAAACCCAAAAGUACAAAACUCAAAAGACACUGGGUCACCAACCCAGGACCAUAGCAUAAAACCUGAAAUCAAUUUUUACACCUCAAUGUAUUUUGCCAGAAAAAUCAGAAACUCAGGUAAAAGCUCACACAACUAUUUCCACAACCACCAAACAGCGAAACAGCAAAUGAUUAAAGAGCAGGUAAAUGGAAAAAGAUGUAAACACCAAGCGUGGAUCAUUCACCUGACACAUGGACAUGCCAUUGGGUGCUGAAAGCAGAGAUCUCACAGAUUCUGAAAGUUCAGGUUUCGUCACUCUCUCACCAAAAUUUACUGAACCAGCAGCAAAAGAAGAUCAAAACUAUGCCUCACAUUUGGAAAAUAUUGUAAUAAAUUCCUUCUUACUUUUGCUGUUUUGCAUCCACCACGAUAAAAUUGCAGUUCCUACACAGCUCUCGGUGUGCUUCGAGAUCAGUUUUCCAUCAAACUAUCUAUUUUCUGCCUCAUUCACUUGAUUAUGAUGCACCAGUCUACUGUUGUGUACAGUGCUGUCUGAUGCUUUUUUUUCUGUUUUUUGUUUUUCCCAAAAAAUGUCCUCCAACAAGAAAACCUAAUUUCUGCUCUUUAAUAAGAAAUUAAAACUUUUUAAAAUAAUGUCAAAUUGCAAAACGCUUAGCUGUGUCUCUAAUAAAACCUCUGUAACUUUGUUCUGCUUCACUCCAGCAGCAUCAGGUAAUAUUCAUAUGUUGACUCGUGUGUUUUUUUUAAAAAAUGCUGUAAAAAGCUAGGCCACGAAAAUCUCCUUCGUAUUUUUCUGUUUUAUCCUCAGUCACUUUGACACAAAGGCAUCUGCUGUGAGGCUUGCACCUCUGAUGAAGUCUCACUAGUGUCAGCUUUGUUUUGGUACCCAGAUAGUUGGAUGUUGUUCCUGGAGUCUGCUGGAGCUACUGCACUCAGUGCUUCGAUUACCAUGGAGACGACUGUUACCUUCACCCUCCACAUCUUCUUGGUAUUUCUCGAGCUUCUUGCAUUUCUUCUUCCUGAUCUUGCUAUCACUUACUUACUCCUCUGAUUGUCCACCACUACUGUGUCCGGUUGUUUAACCAACACCAGUUUUUUCAUCUGUAGCUGGAAUCCCACAGGAUCUUAUUCUCAACCACCCCAGGCGGCGUAUACAAUUUUGACGUGGGGACUUCCAGGCCAUUUUGAAACAGAAGUUCCUAUAUAUCAUUACAGUCACUUGGCAUUCCAUGCAUGCCCUGCCUGCCAGCUUUUUGCACUCUGCAGUUAUGUACUGCAUCUUUGCACAGCCUGCACCUGGGGGCUUACCUGGUGUGACCCCACCUUCUAUUGCUAUUGUGCUUAGAUCUUCCUCCUGUGCUACCAUGAUUAGUGCCUCUGUGCUGUCUUUCAGUCCAGCUUUGUCCAGCCACUGGUAGGAUUUCUCGAUAUCUGCCACUUCUUUUAUCUGCAUAUAUUAUACAUUAUAUAUAUAUAUAUAUAUAUAUAUAUUAGGGGUGCAACAAUACACAAAAUUCACGGUUCGGUUCGGUUCGAUACUUUGGUGUCACGGUUCGAUAUUUUUUCGAUACAAAAAAAUGUUCAUGCCUUUUUAAUUUGUCAUUUAUUAAAAUUAUAAAUAUAUAUUUUAACUCAAAAGUACAGUUUUUAAAUUUAAUGUUGCUGAAACAACAAAAUAAUAAAAAAAAUAAAUCUAUCAGAUCGAGAAAUCACUCAUCUUUGGAAAAGAGAGUUUAUUACAGAGAAAGGGCUCUUUCCAAAAUAAAAGCUAUACUAUACGCUUCUUCCGGGCUAUAUUCUCAGCAGCAUAUUAAACAUAUCAGGUCCCCAUAAGGAGAAUCAUGUGCUAACGGCUGUCUAAAUGACUCGGGUAAAGUUUGUAGCAUGCGUGCUUUUUGUUUUUGUCUGCUUCCACUUGUCUUUGCACUAGGAUGAUGUCGGCGUAAAUGUGCAGUCAUAUUCAUUGUGUUCCCACUAGUGCUGUCAGCGUUAAUCUCGUUAAAAUGACUUCAACGCCAUAACGCGGCAAAUCUCCGUUAACAAGUUACAGCGGAUCGCCCCGUGCGUGAGGCUGGAUGGCGUCAACACCUUAACGAGCUAACUGCGCUAACGCACUAGUUCCCACCAAUGUAAUUGAGCAUUGCGUUGCACAUCUGACAUACUGUUUUACUUUUGUCCAUGACGCGCUUACUAUCAGGGUCAUGCUUCACAUGAAAAUCAAAAUAGUUCCAAACACCGGAUCUGAAUGAGGGUGGGGGAGGUUCAAUUUCGAGGCAGUUGCCAUGUUGCAACGAGCUUAACUUAUGUCUUGCUAGCUUGCGCUGCGCUCAGUGGAUCUGCACUCGACAGUGC
rnacentral:lncRNA from 1 species